rnacentral:rRNA from 1 species
GAUGAACGCUAGCGGCAGGCCUAACACAUGCAAGUCGAGGGGUAGAGGAAGCUCGCUUCCUUGAGACCGGCGCACGGGUGCGUAACGCGUAUGCAAUCUACCUUUUACAAAGGGAUAACCCAGAGAAAUUUGGAUUAAUACCUCAUAGUAUAUAUCAUUCGCAUGUUUGGUAUAUUAAAGUUCCAACGGUAAAAGAUGAGCAUGAGUCCCAUUAGUUAGUUGGUAAGGUAACGGCUUACCAAGAAGAUGAUGGGAAGGGGUGCUGAGAGGGAGAUCCCUAACACUGGUACUGAGACACGGACCAGACUCCUACGGGAGGCAGCAGUGAGGAAUAUUGGUCAAUGGACGCAAGUCUGAACCAGCCGUGCCGCGUGCAGGAAGACGGUCCUAUGGAUUGUAAACUGCUUUUGUACGGGAAGAAACACUCCUACGUGUAGGAGUCUGUCGGUACCGUAAGAAUAAGGAUCGGCUAACUCCGUGCCAGCCGCCGCAGUAAAAC